rnacentral:tRNA from 1 species
UGGGGAUUAUCCAAGUUGGUAAGGCCUAGGACUUUGAAUCCUAUAUGCAGAGGUUCGAGACCUCUAUCCCCAG